AGGAUGAACGCUGGCGGCGUGCCUAAUACAUGCAAGUCGAGCGGUAAGGCCCCUUCGGGGGUACACGAGCGGCGGACGGCUGAGUAACACGUAGGAACGUACCCCAAACUGAGGGAUAAGCACCAGAAAUGGUGUCUAAUACCGCAUGUGGUCUUCGGAUUAAAGCUUCGGCGGUUUGGGAACGGCCUGCGCAUGAUUAGCUUGUUGGUGAGGUAAAAGCUUACCAAGGCGACGAUCAUUAGCUGGUCUGAGAGGAUGAUCAGCCAGACUGGGACUGAGAACGGCCCAGACUCCUACGGGAGGCAGCAGUAGGGAAUUUUCCACAAUGGGCGAAAGCCUGAUGGAGCAACGCCGCGUGCAGGACGAAGGCCUUCGGGUUGUAAACUGCCUUUAUAUGUGAAGAUUAUGACGGUAGCAUAUGAAUAAGGAUCGGCUAACUCCGUGCCAGCAGCCAC
rnacentral:rRNA from 1 species